ensembl:lncRNA
UAUUCAAUGUACUAUUUUUAAAAAACAACAUUAGACAGUAUACAGUAUAUACUGCAUUAUGCAAGCCAGUGUUUGCGAUGAAGAGGCCGGUUGUCAUCAGCAGGGGUUCAUUGAUGCCAAAUGGUCAAAUUCAAUUAUUUGUGUAUGACUUAGUAUUAUCUCUGAGCUGUUUUCUGCAAACUUGGAUCUGUGGUUGGUGGUGUUUAUAUUAAUACAAUGGGACACUCUUAAUUGUAGGGAGUAUUUAUUUUAACAGAUUUAUCAUACAUUUGUAUGCAGCUAUGCAUAUGAUUCAUCAAUAUUUUUGGUCCAUUUUCCAGAAAGUGAAAGACUGUAAAUCCUAAAUGUGUAUAUCUGUUAAAAGUUUGUUUUGUCAGCUUUUAUGACUAGCAUAGUAGAUAAGCUUAAACUGACAGACAUAUGGUAAAUUCAAUUUGGACGUGAAUAUCACUAUGCGACACAUUUUCUUUAGAAUCAAAUUGUCAUCUUGAUCAUGUAGCUGAAUGCUGAUGUUUUUUUGCUGUCAAGAUAAAGAUUAUGUAGAAAUGUUUGCAUCGAAUAUAACUUCUGUGGGGCUUUAAAGGGAUAGUUCACCCAAAAUUUUUUUUUUUUUUUUUCAACAGUCAAAAUAAAUGGGGUCUAAAACAUAAAUGAACCAUAUUGACUUUCCUUAGUUUGGGGUAAACUGUCCUUUUAAUUCAAACUUCACCUUUCUUCUCUGUUCUGUGUUUGUGUGCCACAUUUCUUUAGGAGGAGAAGCUUUGAGAUUCAUGCAAUGUGUUUAUUUUUGGGGCGAGAGCAUUCAUCAGAGUGAAGCACAGGGUUGGGAAGCAUACGGCAUCUUUCGAGGACAGCUGGAGGAAGGGGAUGCUGGGAUACGUGUAACGUGGCUGUUCUUGGCUGUACUCUCCUCACGUCAGGACAUUAUUAAUGUGAGAGAUGGAUCUGCACUGAGCCACCCACAGGAUAAACCGGAGGAGAGAAGCUCCUUUGAGCAGAGAGCAAAAUUCUCCACCUCACACAGACAGAAACAGAUUGUUUUUAUGAAGUUAAUUUCAGAUAAAACAAGAAAUGCACCUGAAUCAAACCCAUACUUGUUUCAUGUAUAGAUAAAACAGUUGUGCUCUUAUACUGCAGACUCACACAAUGAUGCCAAUGUACAGUAACAGCAGUCUUUUAGAAAAGUAUUGCAGAUUAUAGCUCAUAAAGACAAGUGUAAAUGCUGAUUCAAAAAUCAUCACAAUCACCUCUUCUGCUGUAUACUCGUUCUUCGCCAUGGUUUUGUUUGUUUUUGAAAUUAUUUUUUGCACCUCAGACUCUAACCUAUUGCGUACUUUAAUUGUCCAUUCAGAUUCUUCCUUUCCGCACUUCUCGAAAGAUGCUGUGUGGUUUACUGAGGAAAAUCAGGACAUUACUGUAAUAAGCAGUAUUUUCCCUAAAAGAGCAAGCUGUUUACUGUAAGGAGCAUUUUAAAUUAUUUAUAUGGUGUAAACAGUUAAAGAGUUACUGCAGAAUGAAUGCAGCUUGGUUUGAUGUGUUGGCAAUGACUCAGCCGGUUUAAUAGUGUUAACAAACUGAUUUUUUUCAGUGGUAAUCAAAACCGUGUUGUAGAGGCAUAAUCAUUAGUCCUACUCAUAGCACUUUAUUUGAACCCUUUUUGUAUAAUGCAUUAUUAAGGUAUUCAUAAUGUACGUUAUAAUUAAUCUUUUCACGAAUAAUUGUAACCAAAGUUGAAAUGCAUUACAAUAUUUGCAGGUUCGUUGUUAC